rnacentral:rRNA from 1 species
UACGUAGGGGGCAAGCGUUGUCCGGAUUUAUUGGGCGUAAAGAGCGUGUAGGCGGCCAAACAGGUCCACUGUGAAAACUCGAGGCUCAACCUCGAGAGGUCGGUGGAAACCGUCUGGCUAGAGUCCGGAAGAGGAGAGUGGAAUUCCCGGUGUAGCGGUGAAAUGCGCAGAUAUCGGGAAGAACACCCGUGGGCGAAGGCG